UACAGAGGGUGCAAGCGUUGUUCGGAUUCACUGGGCGUAAGGGUGGCGUAGGUGGCGGGGUAAGUCUGAUGUGAAAUCUCCAAGCUUAACUUGGAAAUGGCAUUGGAAACUACUCUGCUCGAGGGUUGGAGGGGGACUGGAAUACGUUGGUGUAGCAGUGAAAUGCGUAGAUAUCAAGUGGAACACCAGUGGCGAAGGCGAGUCCCUGGACAACUCCAUGACCACUGAGGCACGACGCUAGGGAGCAAACAGGA
rnacentral:rRNA from 1 species